AUAUUGUGUGUAAUUCCUAAAGGAUUUGGUCUAAAUAGUUAUGAUGGUAAAGACACAAAAGUUGAAGUGGUCAUGAAUGGCAUAGAAAACCCAGCAAUGGAUCAAAAGGAAGCAGACCUGUAUGAAAAAUCAGAGAAACUGCCUAGCACGUACUUAUAGCUGAAUACAGAAGUUCUAAACAAAAUUCAUUUUUCAUUCAAGUCCUUAUUCUCUUUUACAAGUAUGUUUGUGGCUUCCUAGCUCCGUGACAAGAUCUGCUUAGAGCUACUGAAGAACAUCUGCCUACUACUGGGAUAGAAUUAUUCUUGUAUGACCCCACUAAGAUGUACUCUUCUCCCUUUGAUUUGUGUAAAUCAGUCAUUUUCUGUGGUGGUAAAAGAUAAAAAAUGGUGGUGACCACUUUAGCCUUUAGUGAAGAUCAGAUGACCAAAUGUAUCACCACUUUCCAAUCUGGGCAUGUUAUUUACUGCUGAUCCUCCUUAGAGGGAACACAGAAUGACAUCACAUGCAACGAAAGCUCGGACAUGACUACAUGGAAACAGACGUGCGUUUCCAGAUAUACCGGCACUUCAGGUCACCAACUAGGGAUACAGCAGUACAUGUAGGUGACCGAGAUUCAAAACAGGCCUCCAAGUUUCAGUAUAUAAUUCAUCUGUCAGAAUAAAAUGCUUAGGGACAUCUGAAAAUAUACAUUACUGGCAUUCUUUUUGGCAACACAACCAAAACAAUAAGAGGAUUACCAAGUUAGUUGUUCUUGAACUUUCUGUACUCUGCUCUCAACAAAACUUUAACUCAAGGCCAGACAAAAACAAAUAAGCUUCCUUUUAAAAUCAACACUAGUUUCUACCCAGAGUAGAUCCAUAAUGUUAUGUUGUUUGCAUGAGAAUUUCCUUGUGCUUCAUUCUGCAUACUCUUCUCAUGUAUCUUUAGUGAAAUGUCUCACCUAUAUUUUAAAUAUAAGAAUUGUAUAAAUCACACUCCAGGUUAAAUGACAAAGAAUACGUGGCAGUGGAAGGUACAGCUGCAUGCUUGAUCAUCCAUGGAUCCCUCGCUUGAAUAUUCCAGCAGUUUUUGAUAAGUGACAAAAAAUAUAUGGUUUAAACACAUUUUGGCUGAAAUAUUUUGCUCCUAACUUCUCCAUGUAUGGUGUUCUGUCCUUAUAUUUCUGUACUCAUGUAAUCAACUCUGUGAUUGUUGCAGCUUGGGGAAAGGAGAAAUCUAUCCUUGUAGGAAUGUCCUUUGAAGGAUGUAACUUUUCUACAACUGACUGAAUGAUGACUCAAGUUUGAAAAUGUAUCCUUAGUAAAGUGCCUAUCUUGCCACAUCAGACAUGGAUCAAAGAUACAAGUGUAUGUGUUUUCUAUGGGGUUAUAAUCAAAUUUUUGAUUCCACUUUUCCAUUGCUGUAUCACUGAAACACACACAAAAAGGCAUGAUUUUUUUCCUGUGGCAACAUUCAUUCUUUUGCUUAGUGUAUUCAAAGUUUGCCCAUGGGGUAGAGCACUGAAAAUACAAUGUAUUUAUACUAUGUUAUGUAUAACUAUAGAAUAAAUGGGGAUGUAGUAUACUGUUGUAAUUUUUUUAGGAAUGCAAUAAAUAAUUUCACAAACCA